GAGCUUCAGCAGCACAUGUACUAAAACUGGAGCAAUACAGAGCAGGUUAGCCUGGCCCCUGCACAAGGAAGCACACAAAUUUGAGCAGUGUUUCUUUUUAGA
ensembl:snRNA U6 U6 spliceosomal RNA